CAUGUGAAUCUAGUUCCCAGGAUGUGCACUAGAUUCACACUUUCAUCUCAAGCAUGAUUACACAUAGCAAACACAACUAAGAUGAAAGAAACUUAAGACUUACAACAACUUAAUAAUUACAUGGCCGACCGGCCAAAUAGACUUAUUAGAGAACAGCGGAAGCUUGACUACCCAAUCACAAGCACACCGACUAGGGGUAUACCCCAUUAAGUUCUCAUCCUAGAAGAAGCAAUCGGAACCCGCAUCACUCAAAGACUAAGACUAAACCUGCAAACAAAAGGUUAUAUCAACAGCAAGAGUCAGUACAUUAAACAAGUUAAUGUACUGGCAAGCACAAGUCAAUCCUACUAUACUACAUGUAAAGCAUAUAUUCAAAGGAAGGCAAUAUGUAGUUCAAUUUCAGCAUAAAGCAAGUUUUGUUUUGCAAUUCUUUUGUAAAGGAGUUGAUGCUUCAAUUAACAAAGACAAGUUUUAAGUUUCAUUAUUAACUUCUUCAUAAUUCCAUCAUAAACAAUCUCUUAUUGCCAUACUUAACAAUAAGUCAUAAUGUAUCACCACAUACACAACUCAACACAUUUAUCAAUUUCAAACCAAUGUCACAUGAUCACAUUUUUAAAACAUAGUCUAUACUCAUGACACAUCACCAAAGCGCUCAUGACCGUGAGCACGGCUAAUCGAUUAGUUUAAAGAACUCUGCAGAGUUUGUACAGCUUUACCCACAUGAUAUGAACUCUCUAGUUUGUUUUGAGUUUGCAAGACUCCACCACACUCUUCAUGUUGCAUGUGAUCUAGAGGUCAUAACGAAGCCUUUACACUACUUAGAGCCUAGCCUUGCACCAGCACGAUACGUGUUCCUCCAUCCUAGGCAUACUUGGAAUAUACCUAGAACCGUUAAGUGGCGGGCCCACGCCUUAAACUUAACGCCGUGGUGGCGGACACGAUGGGAACCCACCACGUGGCACAAUACCGUUGUAUUGGACAGACUUAGUCACCUAAACUACCACGUCGGGGCAAAUAGGAAGUUCCUCUGAAUCAUCGACUAAUUCCUCAGAAUUAUCGACUAACUCAUACACACCGGCCUACCAGAAUGUAAGGCUAGUCCUAAAUAGAUUAAUCAGCUUAGGCCAUCCCAUACUAGCACAUGUGGAUGUACGGAUAACUUUAAAUGGGUGACACAAGUUCGGUCCUUAUGGGCUUGGGCAAACACUUCCCCUAUCGGUAUGCAACUAACACCAUAUGCACACCACUUGCCGCCCAAGUAUAAAAUCACAUUUUACACAUUUUAGUUCGCAAAUACCCAUCAUAUUCAUUUUAUUCCAGCAAGGGUUCAUGUAUCAAAAUUCACAUUUUAAUUAUAGAUGGAAUGAGCAUUUGCAUAUUUCUAAGCAUGGCUAAGCAAGUAGUUGCACAUAGAGCAUAUAUAAACCCAUUUGAGCACAAUGAAUGUACUCUAAUCAUUUCUAGGGGUUCAAACAGCAAGAGGAUCAAUUAUUCAAGGUGGAAUAUGCAGCAAAUAGGUCAUAACUACCUUAACCCAAUUUCAAAUACCGAUAUAGUCUAAGUUCACAUGCAACUUUGCAAACAAAUAUUUUCAUUCCUCAAAUCAUGGGAUUCAAUGUGUUCAAAGGAUGGGAGGAGAAAACUUGCCUUGAUUAGAGAAUUGUUAGCACCUAAUCCACUUCUUCACCGAUUAUGCAAUUAUCUAGAUAAAGGACACGAUAUGCAAUUAAACACCGAAAGAGCUGAAAAUCCAAAAUGCUCUAAAAUGCAUGAUUUAUGCACAGUGGGUUGGAAAUGAUCUAAAAUGAAUUUAGGUGAAAUAAUUCCUAUUUUAUUUUAUUCCAUUUGGGAGUUAUGAAUUUUAGAAGUUUUAUCGGUUUACAAUAGUAUAGUCUUAGGUAGUGUUAUGAAAUACUUUUGUAAAGUGAUUUUUAUUAGAUUAGACUUCACAGGGGUGUGGAGAUGUGUUUUCUAAGACUAACACAUUUGGUUUCACAAUUUUUGGAAUUAUAAUGAUUUUCUUAUAGAUUUUACAAGUUACAACGUGUUUUAGGCAUAUAGUGUUUUAUAUGUUCAUGACUUUUGAGUUAUAGGUUCAGAACAUGCUACUUCCUGUUUAAGUUGAAUAAAAGGAAUAAUUCGCUUAACUAAAAUAUUUUUAGUUCACAUGUUUAUGGUCUUUACUACUAUGGUUCAUAUUUUAUAAACUAGAGAUGCUCUAAUCUAAACUAGCAAUAUAUUAUAUUAACCUAGAAAUUGUUAUAUGAGCUAAGUUCUUCUAAUUUUAGUGGAUGGGAAUGGAACUAUGGCUUCACUGGUCAAUCAAGUUUUUAUUUAGGUUUAAUUAGACCUAAAGUGUAUAUAUAUACUUAUACAUGUUUAUGUAUUACUUAAACAACCCUAUGUGUUUAAAUUCUUAUUUCACUAAGUUAAGGUUUUGAUCAAUGUUCUCUACAAAAGGUGACAAAUUUUAUUUUACUAUGUUGAAGAUAACUAUUUGCUGGUUCUAUAGAAACUUUGUUCAUUUCAUUUGGACUAAAAAUAAAUUUUCUACAAGUUUUACAAAUUAAUGGCUGCUCUAUGUUAGUAAAUCCUUAUAUGAAUAUUUAGAGACUUUUACUACACAGCAAGUAUAUAAUCUUAUUUCAUAACUUGGAAAUACAUGUUUUAGUGAUCCUACAUAACUUAAGUUUAUUCAAAUUGAAGCUAAAUUGGGUUCUACAUGAAUUUCUAAAGUUUAGCUUAUCUAAAACUAAUCAUUAUAGAGAUAAUAGUUUUAGAGGCAUUUGAUGCAAAGUAAGUCAUUACUUUUAUUUAACCUAAUCAGAGAGUGUCUGAUGAUGAAUCUGCAGUUUUUGAGUUUGUUUCAAAAUGAGUUGAAAUGAAUUUUCUAUGUAUUUUAUAAGUUUGUACAUGUUUUAUGCAUGACUUAUCUUAGAUAAAUCUUAGAGACAUUAUUUGUACAGUGAGUGUCAAGUUUUAUAUUCCUGGAAUAAAGUUCAUAACUUCAAGAAUCUACAGCAACUGGAAUCACUUCAAAAUGAGCUAUAUUUGAUUUUAUAUAGAUUUUACAACUUUGUGCAUUUUUCUGUUAAACAUAUAUUUGUUUGGGCAUUUUCCUAAUUUUUCUUCAGAUUUUAAAGGAUGGGUCCACAUGGCUGUGAGGGACCAAUAUGCACAAAGGCCCUUGAGUUUUCUAGGAAUCAACCCGCAGUCCUAGGCCCAUAUGUCAGUUACUAACAUUUUGCGCAAAAACCCCUGGUUUCUCGGGAAAUAGAUCCCGUAGUCCCCUAGUUUUAGGUUUGUAUGCAAAACGAUGCUUGAGUUUUAGUUUAUUUACAGAUUAUUACUGGUCCUACUUGUAAGUGACUAUUCCAGUUGUUAAUACAUCCCUGGGAGUCUUUAAAUUUCAAAAGCCAUGCCCUUGCUUUGGACAGAGCAGAGCAGCAGCACAGCCGCGAGCUUCACAGCAUCACCAGUGGCGAACAACGGCGAUUCAGCUUAAGCUCCCAAAACAAAAAGUGUAGAGAACAACCGUGCGAACCUAUUGGUGGCUUUCUGGCAAGAUUUGGUGCUCUAUAGCGGCUGUUAGGGUGUUAGAGGCGGUGGCUCAGCUCGGCUUGCACAUGCAUGUGGGUUUUGAGGCUCGAUUUAAUCGUGCAUGCGUACGAUAAGGACUCUAGGGACUACUAGGAGGCUCACCAAGAAUCAAACGCGGCUCGGCGAAGUCUUGGCGACGGUGUACUGGUUCGGCGACGGCGCAACUGCUACGGUCGUCGUCGACGGUGUACUCCCGGGCUUCUACUGCAUAUAGAGGGUGCAUGCUUCGGUUUAGAUCAGCACAAGGUAGCUCUAGGCGAAAAAGAUUGCGCCGAAGCUCACCAGAGAAGGAGAAAGAAAGGAAUGGCGUCGGCG
rnacentral:lncRNA from 1 species